AGUGAACGCUGGCGGUAGGCCUAACACAUGCAAGUCGAACGGCAGCACAGAGGAGCUUGCUCCUUGGGUGGCGAGUGGCGGACGGGUGAGGAAUACAUCGGAAUCUACUCUGUCGUGGGGGAUAACGUAGGGAAACUUACGCUAAUACCGCAUACGACCUACGGGUGAAAGCAGGGGAUCUUCGGACCUUGCGCGAUUGAAUGAGCCGAUGUCGGAUUAGCUAGUUGGCGGGGUAAAGGCCCACCAAGGCGACGAUCCGUAGCUGGUCUGGGAGGAUGAUCAGCCACGCUGGAACUGAGACACGGUCCAGACUCCUACGGGAGGCAGCAGUGGGAAUAUUGGACAAUGGGCGCAAGCCUGAUCCAGCCAUACCGCGUGGGUGAAGAAGGCCUUCGGGUUGUAAAGCCCUUUUGUUGGGAAAGAAAUCCAUCUGGUUAAUACCCGGGUGGGAUGACGGUACCCAAAGAAUAAGCACCGGCUAACUUCGUGCCAGCCGCCGCCGUAA
rnacentral:rRNA from 1 species